UUCAUCAUUUCUUUUUCUUUAGCAACUUUUUUCUCUCUCUCAUCUUUCUUCUUCUUUUUCUCUUCUUUGGCUAUUCUCCUUCAUAAGCCACUUGAGUCAUCGGUUGUCGUUGCCUUCUUUAAUAGUAAUGGAGAAGGAUGCUAGUCUAGAGGGAGUCUCAAAAAAUUGGCAUGGGUUGAAUCAAGUCAAAAGGCAGAUUUUUUACAGAUAAUGAAUGUUGAUUUAGAGGCGAUCUAAUGGAGACGAGGUCCAAAAUGAAGCUGAAGCCAAAAAGGAGAUGGUGAUGGGUUAAAGUCAUGAAUGAGCCAAACAUUAACUUCUGCUAUCUCAUCUCUAUUCAUUGUCCACAUAUUAAUAUCAACAAAGCUCAGUUUGUAUUGUUUGAUUUUCUAUUGAGAUUUUAAUUUUUGAUUGUUGUUUUUUGGUAUAAUUUAGAUUUGUUUAGUUUUGGGAAUUUUAUUUUAUGUGAGAACGUUAUUGUUGAAAUUGUUGAUUUGUGGCUUAUUUUAAGUUUUCAAUUUAAAAACUUUAAAGAUUUUUUUAAUUUUUUGUAAAUAGAAUUUCAUUAUAUCGAUUCUGUUAUAGCGAGUAAAAUGUUAAAUUCCUAUCAAGUAAACUUUGUGAUGAGUUUUUGUAAAAGAAGUAGGUAUGUAUAUAUAUUUGUAUUACUAGGAAAUUUUCA
rnacentral:lncRNA from 1 species